UUGCUAUUCUUCACUGUCAACUCAGGAUAUUGCCAAAGGCUCCUGGGACCUUUAAAGGCCACCAGGAUGAGGCAAGAAGCCAAGAAGGUUCCUUUCGGCCUUAUAUAAUGGAUGUCUUGAACUCGGUUCCUCAAACUGUGCAGCGUGUUCUUGUCUGCCCUGAAAGCCUGCGAUUUCUCAGCUGCUAGCCUUCCAAAGCUGUCUCUCCAUACAAAAGGCAUUCCAAUGGAGCAGAGCUUGUUUCUUGGUAAUCGAAGGCCACGUCUGCUUCAGGUCUGGCUACUUACAUUAUGUGUUCUGCUUUGCUUCAGGACUGGAGAUGCUGCGAUAUGCAGAAGAUGCAUCAUGAAAGGUCCUGGCGAGCCAUGUGUACCGAAUGAUAUGACAUGUGAGGCACCAUUCUGUAUGAUGGUAGAAACCUUUUCAGGUGAUACAGGUGAAUUCGUGAGAGCCUUCAAAGAUUGUGGCCCUGCUCAUAUGAAAAGGGCAUGUGGAAAGGAACUAUCAGGUGCAACGAAAAUGAAAACGACGUGCUGUGAAACUGACUUAUGUUUUGACUGAUUUUACUAUUCUGUUCCUAAACUGCUCCUCCUUCCUGUUCCAGAGAAGAGGACCACCCAUUUGUGUCCACUCAUUUAUGCAUUCCUUCACUGUAACUUCUCCCCGCAAAAGUGUGCAAUUGACUGCAGCAAGAGGGUGGGGUGGGAUGUU